rnacentral:pre_miRNA from 1 species
AAUACAUUCGAACCGUCAGUCUACCGAGCAAUAUCACCCGCUCGGUGGAAGAUCUUCCCUUUGUCAU